CCUACGGGAGGCAGCAGUGGGGAAUAUUGGGCAAUGGGCGCAAGCCUGACCCAGCAACGCCGCGUGAAGGAAGAAGGCUUUCGGGUUGUAAACUUCUUUUGACAGGGAAGAGCAGAAGACGGUACCUGUCGAAUAAGCCACGGCUAACUACGUGCCAGCAGCCGCGGUAAUACGUAGGUGGCCAGCGUUGUCCGGAUUUACUGGGUGGAAAGGGCGUGUAGCCGGGCUGACAAGUCAGAUGUGAAAUCCGGGGGCUCAACCCCCGAACUGCAUUUGAAACUGGUGGUCUUGAGUAUCGGAGAGGCAGGCGGAAUUCCUAGUGUAGCGGUGAAAUGCGUAGAUAUGAGGAGGAACACCAGUGGCGAAGGCGGCCUGCUGGACGACAACUGACGGUGAGGCGCGAAAGCGUGGGGAGCAAACAGGAUUAGAUACCCGAGUAGUC
rnacentral:rRNA from 1 species